CGGUCUACUAUUGCAGAACAAAGAUGAGUUAUCCACCUCAACAACAACAAUACUACCCUCCGUCCCAGCCGGGCUUCAACCCGAACUACGCCGGGGGGCCUCCGCCGCAGCCUGGUUACUAUCCGCCAGCUCCACCGCCCGGUGCCUAUCAGCCGGGAUAUGCGCCGCCCCAACCCCAGACAGUAAUCGUCCAUGAACAGCGGCCUCAGGAAGACACAUUCUGGAAAAACUGCUGCCUGUGUACGUUGUGCCUGGCCCUCUGCUGCUGGUGUUGUGAUGAUUGAAUUCGAGUCUGACGCUCGGCUGUAUGAUCUGGAGCUCUGAGGACGCUGUGUACAUGCAUACUAUUACUUAUCUUGACGGUUCGAUUAAAUGUUUCGAUGAAUUAUACCUAUGGGGAUCCAGCGAGUCUUAUCAACAAGCGUGAGCAUGCCCGA